CGUGUGAGGUUAGACUCACAGAUGGGAGGGCUAAAAAUGAUAACAGGGUCAUUAAAAGAUAAAUAUCCUCCACAAGGGAAGACAGUCGUCACAGACAGCCUCUCUGCAGCAGCAAAAAGCAGAAAAUAAAACAACUCUGGAAAAAUGCUCAGAAAUUUUCUUGUAGCGUCUCUUUGCCUCCUCGCCACAGUAAAUCUGUGUGGGACAACGGAGACACCUACUACACCAGAACCACCAACAACACCAAUACCAAAAAGCACCACAGACAUUAGUACUGAAACUUCAGCUAGUCCACCAACUUCACCAACCUCAACCCCAACUGGUUCACCAGCCACAGUCGACCAAACUGGUGAAACUGGUUCACCAGCCACAGUCGACCAAACUGGUGAAACUGGUUCACCAGCCACAGCCAGCCUAAACUCAACCACAAUCCUCCCCUCGUCGGGACCGGCCUCGCCAGGGCUGUCCGGAGGGGCGAUAGCCGGCAUCACCAUCGGUACCAUCGCCGGGGCGGGCUUACUGGGCGGCGGCGUCUACGGUCUGCUGAAAUACACUAAAAAAAUCUGAGAACAAUUCCCCCCCCAUCAAAGACUUAAAUGUUGAAACAUCGCACGCUGCAACGUUUCCUAUGAUCCGAUCCGGUUAGCGGGACGGGGAGGAGGCGGGCUUUUCUCAAAGGAUCUGAAUAAAACCGUCAGUGAAAGCUUCAUGGCCCACCAGGAGUAAAUCCAUUAUAGUUUCUUGACUGCAUUUCUUUAAGUCAGACGGUAAUUUUGAUGAUGAUUUUAACGUAACAGCAAAUUCUCUGCAUAUUUAUCGGUUUCUGUCUGCAGUGAACGGCAUAAAUGUGUCGACCAGAAAGUUUUGUUGUCAUUUAUGAAAAUAUGUGAAAAACUGUAAUUAAGAUUAUGAAUAAUUUAUAACAUUUAGUGUGAUGAAUAGCCAUCUUGGUGGAUUUACAUCCUCAUUAGAGACUUGCUCUCUUUCACUCCUUCAGCUUUAAUAAAAAACGGUUUUAGUUUCUUUUGUCAUCUGGAAAUAAAAAUGUUACAAACCUUUACAACCAUCCAGACAGGGCUUCACUGCUGAGGCUUUAUAUAUAUUUCAGAACAUAAAGUUGGUUUAUUUUCAUAUAAUAAAUAAAGAAAAUCA